CCUAGGGGGGCUGCAGUGGGGAAUAUUGCACAAUGGGCGCAAGCCUGAUGCAGCCAUGCCGCGUGUGUGAAGAAGGCCUUCGGGUUGUAAAGCACUUUCAGCGGGGAGGAAGGCGUUAAGGUUAAUAACCUUGGCGAUUGACGUUACCCGCAGAAGAAGCACCGGCUAACUCCGUGCCAGCAGCCGCGGUAAUACGGAGGGUGCAAGCGUUAAUCGGAAUUACUGGGCGUAAAGCGCACGCAGGCGGUCUGUCAAGUCGGAUGUGAAAUCCCCGGGCUCAACCUGGGAACUGCAUUCGAAACUGGCAGGCUAGAGUCUUGUAGAGGGGGGUAGAAUUCCAGGUGUAGCGGUGAAAUGCGUAGAGAUCUGGAGGAAUACCGGUGGCGAAGGCGGCCCCCUGGACAAAGACUGACGCUCAGGUGCGAAAGCGUGGGGAGCAAACAGGAUUAGAUACCCUAGUAGGC
rnacentral:rRNA from 1 species